rnacentral:rRNA from 1 species
GGUGAACGCUGGCGGCGCGCCUAACACAUGCAAGUCGAACGAUUAAAGCACCUUCGGGUGUGUAUAAAGUGGCGAACGGCUGAGUAACACGUGGGCAACCUGCCCCUUUCAUUGGGAUAGCCACGGGAAACCGUGGAUAAUACCGAAUACUUCGAGACUUCCGCAUGGAAGACUCGAGAAAGCUCCGGCGGAGAGGGAUGGGCCCGCGGCCUGUUAGCUUGUUGGUGGGGUAACGGCCUACCAAGGCAAUGAUGGGUAGCUGGGUUGAGAGACCGACCAGCCAGAUUGGGACUGAGACACGGCCCAGACUCCUACGGGAGGCAGCAGUGGGGAAUCCUGCACAAUGGGCGAAAGCCUGAUGCAGCGACGCCGCGUGCGGGAUGAAGGCCUUCGGGUUGUAAACCGCUUUCAGCAGGGACGAGGCGAAAGUGACGGUACCUGCAGAAGAAGCCCCGGCUAACUACGUG